rnacentral:rRNA from 1 species
CCUACGGGUGGCUGCAGUGGGGAAUAUUGGACAAUGGGCGAAAGCCUGAUCCAGCCAUGCCGCGUGUGUGAAGAAGGCCUUCGGGUUGUAAAGCACUUUCAGUGGGGAAGAAAGCCUUGGGGCUAAUACCCUCGAGGAAGGACAUCACCCACAGAAGAAGCACCGGCUAACUCCGUGCCAGCAGCCGCGGUAAUACGGAGGGUGCGAGCGUUAAUCGGAAUUACUGGGCGUAAAGCGCGCGUAGGCGGUCUGAUAAGCCGGUUGUGAAAGCCCCGGGCUCAACCUGGGAACGGCAUCCGGAACUGUCAGGCUAGAGGGCAGGAGAGGAAGGCAGAAUUCCCGGUGUAGCGGUGAAAUGCGUAGAGAUCGGGAGGAAUACCAGUGGCGAAGGCGGCCUUCUGGACUGACACUGACGCUGAGGUGCGAAAGCGUGGGUAGCAAACAGGAUUAGAUACCCUAGUAGUC